ACGCUGUAGAGUCCCCCUGCAGACCAUGGCCAUGGCUUUGGCAGUCCCGGGCAGACACGGCGCUCCAGUCUUCACACACCUAAUAGCGGAUUGAAAGAGGGGGCUACCCGGAGAGGCUUUGCGCCGUUUGACACGAUUUUCCAGACUGGCAAAGGAACUGAACAUCUAUUCAAACGAAGGCUCUGCCAUCUGAUGCUUGGGUCAAAGAAGAAAACUGGCCUUUGUCUUCAGAGCACCAGGUGGAGCCACUGAAGAAACCUACCUGCACAUGUUGAGAGGCAGAGCCAAGCACUGUGUUUUUCAGAUGGACACUGGGAAAGCACCAGCAUUCUUUGCAUUCUUUUUCAAAAGACCUAAGACAGAACAUACUCAAGGUUGACAGAGCAGUUUUACCUCCCACCGUCUCCUCCUCAUCCCCUGAUCCAAUCAGAGAGACCUCUUCUUCUUUCUACCUCCCAGACAAAUAAAAAAGGAAAAAAUAAACAGGAAUUUCUUAUCAGUUAGCAGUUCUUCCUUUUAUUUUCUUCGUGCAACAUUUCUCCAUUUACCUCAGGGAU